rnacentral:rRNA from 1 species
CGUAUCCAACCUGCCCUUUACUUGGGGAUAACCCGUUGAAAGACGGACUAAUACCCAAUGAUAUCAUUGAUGACAUCUGAUUUGAAAUUAAAGAUUUAUCGGUAUAGGAUGGGGAUGCGUCUGAUUAGCUUGUUGGUGAGGUAACGGCUCACCAAGGCCACGAUCAGUAGGGGUUCUGAGAGGAAGGUCCCCCACAUUGGAACUGAGACACGGUCCAAACUCCUACGGGAGGCAGCAGUGAGGAAUAUUGGUCAAUGGACGAGAGUCUGAACCAGCCAAGUAGCGUGCAGGAUGACGGCCCUAUGGGUUGUAAACUGCUUUUGUUUGGGAAUAAUCGACAUUACGUGUAAUGUUUUGCAUGUACCAUUCGAAUAAGGGACCGGCUAAUUCCCGUGCCAGCAGCCGCGGUAAAU